AGGCUCCGGCACAACUCAAUGCGCAUCAAUGAGCUUGCAACUCAACAUGAACUUCACCACAGAGCC
rnacentral:tRNA from 1 species